rnacentral:pre_miRNA from 1 species
UGACAGAAGAGAGUGAGCACAAAUGGUGUUUUUCUUGCAUGAAUAAUGAUCACAUGCUUGAAGCUAUGUGUGCUUACUCUCUCUCUGUCA